GAUGAACGCUGACAGCAUGCUUAACACAUGCAAGUCAACUGUGGCGGACGGGUGAGUAACGCGUAAAGAACUUGCCUCACAGUUAGGGACAACAUUUGGAAACGAAUGCUAAUACCUGAUACUGUGAGAGAGCUUUGCGUCCCAUUAGCUAGUGUGAGAGGUAACGGCUCACCAAGGCGAUGAUGGGUAGCCGGCCUGAGAUGGUGAUCGGCCACAAGGGGACUGAGACACGGCCGUGAUUCCUACGUGAGGCAUCAGUGGGGAAUAUUGGAAAAUGGACCAAAGUCUGAUCAAGCAAUUCUGUGUGCACGAUGAAGUUUUCGGAAUGUAAAGUGCUUUCAGUUGGGAAGCGGUACCAACAGAAGAAGUGACGGCUAAAUACGUGCCAGCCGCCGCGGUAAUUC
rnacentral:rRNA from 1 species